UACGGAGGAUGCGAGCGUUAUCCGGAUUUAUUGGGUUUAAAGGGUGCGUAGGCGGCGCCUCAAGUCAGCGGUCAAACCGGGGGGCUCAACCUUCCGCCGCCGUUGAAACUGGGGCGCUUGAGUGGGCGAGAAGUGCGCGGAAUGCGUGGUGUAGCGGUGAAAUGCAUAGAUAUCACGCAGAACUCCGAUUGCGAAGGCAGCGCACCGGCGCCCAACUGACGCUGAAGCACGAAAGCGUGG
rnacentral:rRNA from 1 species